CCCUAACACACAAAGAGACCGAGACCGAGAGGAAGAGAUUCCAACAAUGGCGACACGUUUCAAGGAGAAAGUAGAGAAACCCGUAACUCCUCUCUCUUCUUAGAAACCCAAAAAUCAAAACCAUAUCCUUCCCCCAAAAUCAAAAUCCAAAACUUAGAUGAGAAAGAAGUAAACGAUCAUGCAAUCUCCGAUUCUCUUACACAAUGGCCACCGAUUCAUCAGACUAACUCAACUUCAACCCUCCUACUACUACAGAAGAAAACCCUAAAUAAACCCUAGACAACGACACUACUACUACUGCUGUCACGCCCACCAGAUCACCUCGAAGAAGAAGAAGAGGAAGAACCAACUGAUGAGGCUUCCGAUCAGCCUUCUGUAACCACCGUUGAUUUCGACAUGAAGUACGGCGAGGAUUCGAAGACCAUUGUAGCCGCUGCCUGUAGCAGGGGAUGUUGUUGAUGUGGAUCCCCGGCUUCCAAUAUUCAGAAGAAGAUCCGCCGUGCUGAGCGAUUCGGCGUUUCUUUGCAACUGACCGAGGAGAAAAAGCAUAAUUCACGAAAAGAGAUUCAAAUCACAAUGGAGUACAAAACUUUGAAGCAGAUAUCAGUGAAUGUGGGAUGCAGUUAACAUAGCAAAAAACCAUGAUCUGAUCAAUAUUGCUUGGAAAGGGUGGAAAGGCGUUUCCUUAAUGCAAUCCAAGUCUUAGAAGAUAAGGUGAGUAUUAUGAUGAGGAGGUUGCUGGUAGAGCGUAUGAUCUUGCUACCUUAAAUAGACAAUCUAUAUCAGUAGUUAAAUGAAUAACAUAUUCAGUUUUAUACAAGGUCGAGAUUUCUCAAUUAUAUACAAAAAAUUGUAAUGUUCAAUUUGAUUUUUAUACAUCGUUGAGAUUUUUCACAGUUAAACUGGCCUUCAUUUG